UGGGGAAUUUUGGACAAUGGGCGAAAGCCUGAUCCAGCAAUGCCGCGUGUGUGAAGAAGGCCUUCGGGUUGUAAAGCACUUUUGUCCGGAAAGAAAUCCUUGGCUCUAAUACAGUCGGGGGAUGACGGUACCGGAAGAAUAAGCACCGGCUAACUACGUGCCAGCAGCCGCGGUAAUACGUAGGGUGCAAGCGUUAAUCGGAAUUACUGGGCGUAAAGCGUGCGCAGGCGGUUUGCUAAGACCGAUGUGAAAUCCCCGGGCUCAACCUGGGAACUGCAUUGGUGACUGGCAGGCUAGAGUAUGGCAGAGGGGGGUAGAAUUCCACGUGUAGCAGUGAAAUGCUAGAGAUGUGGAGGAAUACCGAUGGCGAAGGCAGCCCCCUGGGCCAAUACUGACGCUCAUGCACGAAAGCGUGGGGAGCAAACAGGAUUAGAUACCCUGGUAGUCCACGCCCUAAACGAUGUCAGCUAGUUGUUGGGGACUUCAUUUUCCUUAGUAACGUAGCUAACGCGUGAAGUUGACCGCCUGGGGAGUACGGUCGCAAGAUUAAAACUCAAAGGAAUUGACGGGGUCAUAGCUGUUUCCU
rnacentral:rRNA from 1 species